AAUUGCUUCUUUAUACUUCAUAGGUUCUUGAUAAGCAGGUAUUGCAGCUGUAAAAUGACUAUCAUGCAAUGUAUCAUGAUGAUCAUGUAAUGAUGCAGAUGCUAAAUCACAGUGGUCAUCUACCAAGUAAGAUGGAAUCAAGUUAAAAUUGAAAGUGGGCACACAAUGUACUUCUUUCAAUUCUAAUUGAUCUGAGGAGAUACUUCCCAGAAUCUGGAAGAUACAGAGUUAGUUAUCCAAGUUUUCAGUAGACAAUCAGCUUGUAUCUAGAGAGUAUAAUGAGGACCUUGGGCAUCUGGGACAUAGCGUCAAGAUAAAGAGGAGAAGAAGUAGCAGCGGAGACUAGAAGGGAGAAGGAGAAGAAGAGAGAAUAUCAGAAAGAUUCAAAUAUGCUAUAUAUUCAAAUCAAGUCUCCAAGAGAGACAAAACUUACAGUAUAUCAUGUACAAAGUGAACGGUCACAAUGAUGUGACAUUUGAAAUCAUAAAUAAAUAAUACAACAAUAUUAAAAGA